ensembl:lncRNA
GCUACGAUAAAUUUGGUUAGGGCAUUAGCAAUCGGGCCACCGUCAGGGACGGAAUACUGGCUAAAAUUGGUCGCAAAAAGUCAGGGACUUUUAUCGGUUGGACCGUUAUGGAUAAAUUUGUCGAAAUUUGUAGGAGUUGUAAAGGCCUAAAAAUCUGUGCAGUGUAAAUAUAAAGACGUCUUGUGUAAAUAUAAUAAUAUGAGAUCUAUGUGGAGAUCCGUCUCUGCACCACCAGUGCACUACCGGAUGUGCACUGAUGGUGUGUGUAAAUGCAAAUGAGCAGCGGGGACGCGCAGAGAGGGUGGUUUCAGCUUCGACAGAAUUGAGCUUUUGCUAAAUGCCUGUAUAUAAGAGGUUGGUUUUGCUUAUUAUGAGAGUGUAAAUACAGUGUGAAUAUAUUAGUGUGGAUGCAUAGUAAAUGACUGAAUUUUGAUAGAUGUAUAUUUCGUGAGCCAUAAAUGUUGGUGUGUUUUAUUUUUCAGUUAUGUGUGUGGGGAGAAGCCGUGAGGAUGAUGAGAGGUUUCAGUUUUCUUUUCUUUUCUUUUGACUUGCUCUUUCUGAUCAUGGAAGGCAUGUCCAAAAUACUCGUAUGAAAGCGUAUUUCGAGUGAUUUUAACUGUGUGAGUGCUGUCAGUAUUUGAUUUGAGUGACUCUGCGUGAGUUCUCUGAGUGAGAGAAAGGCAGUGCGUGUGAGACGAUUUAUGGCGUCUGAAAGAGCAUGAUGUGUCCAGGAACCUGAAAAGCAAGCCCCAGCUCCUGGCUGAAGACUAGGAGUGCUUUAUUUAAGGCCUGGAAGAGAGUGAACGGACGGCGCUGACAAAAUUACCAAGUACGAAAAUCAGGUGGGCUUUACAGAAUUAUAAUUGAUUACAAUCAGAGACUGAUCGGCGGCGAGUCUCUGUCUAAAAAUGGAUUGUAUCGAUUCAAUCCAGUCAAAAGUAUAGAGAACUAUUUUCCUAAAAAAAAGAAAACGAAAUAAAACAAAUGAUUGAGCUCAUUUUGCUGAUGUGGAGCAUCUGAUGACGUGCGCGGAAGGCUGCAGAUCAGCAAAAAAAUAUCAUGAGUGAAUGCAUGUGAGUGAAUGUGAGUGACUGGACUAAGGUGGGAAUGAAUAAAUGUGGACAGAUUUAUCAUGUGAGGAAAAGAAAGGGGAUGCUUUGUUUUGCUUUUGCCAUAGGCAGGACAAGUGGGAGACUUAAAUCUGGGGAGGCUGAUUUUGGGAUGCUGAUGUUUGCUUUGAGAAAAUUUCUUUUUACGGGGGUUAGAUUAUGGGAUUACAUUAUAUUGUUGGGAGAAUGCUAAAUGCUAAAAGGGAAACAUUGUUUGAUGAGAUUCAAGUUACCAUUAACUGAGGUAACUCAGGAUUAAUAACUGUUCUGUUCAAGUUUAUUUUUUGUUAUGACAUAGACGGGAUCAUAAGGGGAGAGUUGAGUAUGAAAUGUAAACUACAGGUUUUGUUUUCAGGAAAUUCCAAGGAUCCAGACCUUGCAUGGAGCAACGAGUUGGAGAAGAUUUGACAUGAUGAUUAAAUUGAUUUUGUUCCUUAAACACAGGUUUUCAGGGCUGGAGCAAAACACCGGAGAGGAGAAUUGCUGAGCUGUUCUGAGAAAUGAAAUGACUAACCUUUUUUCCUUUUGAUUUGUUAAGCUUGGGUGAAGAUGUUGAGUUUUUGCCACAUGAGAUGUGUCAAAAAAGAGAGGGGUUUAAGAUUUAAUUUGUUUAAUGUGAAAGGGUUUUACUAGGAUUUUAUAACGAUUGGGGUUGUUUGAUAAUUUAGAUAUGGUAAAACUGAGGCAGAGAUUGUUAAUUCUAAAGAAAGGAGUAAAAUGAACUGAAUUCUGUUUAGAAGAUAAAUUGCUGGGGUUAAAAAGAAGUUGUACACCAAAUUAAAGGGGAAAUUGUGGGAAUAAAGGAUAUGCUUUGGGAAAAAUAGUGAACAUUUUAUGAGUAGAAAAUGUGGGAUUUUUCUUUUGAUUUUUAGGAU